AACACAAGCCAUCGAGAUGGCAUCUCCAGCUCAACUCCUCUGGCUCGUGAUGCUUUGGAUCUCGGACUCCAGUGGAGACAUCGUGUUGACCCAGACUCCAGACUCCCUGACUGUGUCCCCAGGAGAGAAAGUCACAAUCCAGUGCAGAGUCAGUCAGAGUGUUACCACUGAAAGAUUACACUGGUACCAACAGAAACCAGGACAGGGUCCUAAACUCCUGAUCUACGGCACAUCCAAACUCGUCUCGGGUGUCCCGGCGAGAUUCAGCGGCAGCGGGUCUGGGACUGAUUAUACUCUGACCAUUAGUGGUGUGGAACCCGCUGAUAUUGCUGACUAUUACUGUCAGCAGUAUUAUAGCCUCCCUUCCACACAGUGCUGCAGCUCUGUACAAAAACCUCUCUUGGCUAUUCAGUCAUUUCAGCUCAAAUGA